rnacentral:lncRNA from 1 species
GCCCGCUGGGUGGUGGGAGCCGGGGGGCGCGAGGGGAACUCGGGGCGCGAGGCAGGAGCGGGAGAAACCCGGCGCUUCCGCUGCCAGCGCGGGGUGCUGCGGGUUCAGGGCAAGUCUGAAUCUCCAGCAAAGCAGGAAGGACCCCGUUUGCCUUGUGUCAGUCACGUCGUCUUCAGGUCUGGGGUCAGCCUCCCCCUUCUACAUCUGCGGCAGCAAGCUUGUUAGCCGCAGAGGCGAAGCCCGCCGUGAGAAGUACUAUAGCUUGGUGCCAGCCUGUAGAUGCAAAGAGCACGAAAUCAAACACAUCUGCAGAUACCACAGCAAGCAAGCAGGUGAAAAAGUGUUGGAGGCUGCAGAAAAAAAAAAUGCAGCCUCUGUAGUGUGCAGUCAACCUAGAACUUGCCAACAACGUACCAGGAAGGCUUCCAAAGACAUAUACAUUGAAGUUUCUCCUGGCACCUACUCUAUCACAGCAACCUCAGAGGACAUGGUGAAACAAACCCACGUGGUAAAUGUCAGCGCAGGACAAAGCGUUGAUUUAACUUUUGUUCUAUGAUGUUUGUUGUUUCUUGUCUAUCACAGGAAUAAAAUACUAGGCUUUUUAAUGCA